AGUCCCUCCCGGAUGACCGAGCUUCUCACCCUAUCCCUAAGGGAGAGCCCGGACACCCUGCGGAGGUAACUCAUUUCGGCCGCUUGUAUCCGGGAUCUUGUUCUUUCGGUCACGACCCAAAGCUCGUGACCACAGGUGAGGGUAGGAACAUAGAUCAACUGGUAAAUCGAGAGCUUUGCCUUUCGGCUCAGCUCCUUCUUCACCACUACGGACCGGUGCAGAGUCCGCAUUACUACAGACGCUGCACCGAUUCGCCUGUCGAUCUCCCGCUCCCUCCUACCGUCACUCGUGAACAAGACCCCAAGAACUCCUCCACUUGGGGCAGGAUCUCAUCCCCGACCCGUAGAGGGCACUCCACCCUUUUCCGAUUGAGGACCAUGGUCUCGGAUUUGGAGGUGCUGAUCUUCAUCCCAACCGCUUCACACUCAGCUGCGAACCGCUCCAGUGAGAGUUGGAGGUCACGGCUUGAUGAAGCCAACAGCUCUAAAUCAUCUGCAAAAAGCAGAGAUCCAAUGCUGAGGUCACCAAACCGGACACCCUCAACGCUUCGGCUGCGCCUAGAAAUUCUGUCCAUAAAAAUUAUGAACAAAAUCGGUGACAAAGGGCAGCCUUGGCGGAGUCCAACCCUCACUGGGAACGAAUACGACUUACUGCCGGCAAUGCGGACCAAACUCUGACACCGGUCGUACAGGGACCGAACAGCCCUUACUAUGGGGCUCGGUACCCCGUACUCCUGGAGCACCCCCCACAGGACUCCCCGAGGCACACGGUCGAACGCCUUCUCCAGAUCCACAAAACACAUGUAGACUGAUCGGGCGAACUCCCAAGCACCCUCGAGGACCCUGCCGAGGGUGUAGAGCUGGUCCACUGUUCCACGGCCGGGACGAAAACCACACUGCUCCUCCUGAAUCCGAGAUUCGACUUCCCGACGGACCCUCCUCUCCAGCACCCCUGAAUAGACUUUACCGGGGAGGCUGAGGAGUGUGAUCCCUCUAUAAUUGGAGCACACCCUCCGGUCCCCCUUCUUAAAAAGGGGGACCACCACCCCGGUCUGCCAAUCCAGAGGCACUGUCCCCGAUGUCCACGCGAUGUUGUAGAGACGUGUCAGCCACGACACCCCUACAACAUCCAGAGCCUUUAGGAACUCCGGGCGGAUGUCAUCUACCCCCGGAGCCUUGCCACCGAGAAGCUUUCCAACCGCCUGAGUGACUUCAACCCCCGGAGCCUUGCCACCGAGAAGCUUUCCAACCGCCUGAGUGACUUCAACCCCAGAGAUCGAAGAGCCCACCUCGGAGUCCCCAGACUCUGCUUCCUCAAAGGAAGGCGUGUCGGUGGAAUUGAGAAGGGCCUCGAAGUAUUCUCCCCACUGGUUCACAACGUCCCGAGUCGAGGUCAGCAGCACACCAUCUUCACUAUACACAGUGUUAACGGUGCACUGCUUUCCUCUCCUCAGGCGCCGGAUGGUGGACCAGAAUUUCCUCGAAGCCAUCCGGAAGUCGUUUUCCAUGGCCUCGCCGAACUCCUCCCAUGUCCGGGUUUUUGCCUCGGCGACCGCCGAAGCCGCAGUCCGCUUGGCCAGCCGGUACCUGUCAGCUGCCUCCGGAGUCCCACAGGCCAAAAAGGCCCGAUAGGCCUCCUUCUUCAGCUUGACGGCAUCCCUUACCGCUGGUGUCCACCAGCGGGUUCGGGGAUUGCCGCCACGACAGGCACCAACCACCUUACGGCCACAGCUCUGAUCGGCCGCCUCAACAAUGGAGGUGCGGAACAUGGCCCAUUCGGACUCAAUGUCCCCCACCUCCCUCGGGACAAGGGAGAAGUUCUGCCGGAGGUGGGUGUUGAAACUCUUUCUGACAGGGGAUUCUGCCAGACGUUCCCAGCAGACCCUCACAAUACGUUUGGGCCUGCCAGGUCUGGCCAGCAUCUUCUCCCGCCAUCGGAGCCAACACACCACCAGGUGGUGAUCAGUUGACAGCUCCGCCCCUCUCUUCACCCGAGUGUCCAAAACAUGCGGCCGCAAGUCCGAUGACACGAUUACGAAGUCGAUCAUCGAACUGCGGCCUAGGGUGUCCUGGUGCCAAGUGCACAUAUGGACACCCCUAUGUUUGAACAUGGUGUUCGUUAUAGACAAACCGUGACGAGCACAGAAGUCCAAUAACAGAACACCCAGCGGGUUCUGAUCGGGGGGGCCGUUCCUCCCAAUCACGCCCCUCCAGGUCUCACUGUCGUUGCCCACGUGAGCGUUGAAGUCCCCCAGGAGAACGAGGGAGUCCCCAGGGGGGCGCGCUCUAGCACACCCUCCAAGGACUCCAAAAAGGGUGGGUAUUCUGAGCUGCUGUUCGGUGCAUAAGCGCAAACAACAGUUAGAACCCGUCCCCCCACCCGAAGGCGGAGGGAGGCUACCCUCUCGUCUACCGGGGUAAACCCCAACGUACAGGCGCCAAGCCGGGGGACAAUAAGCAUGCCCACACCUGCCCGGCGCCUCUCUCCGUGGGCAACUCCAGAGUGGAAGAGAGUCCAACCCCUCUCGAGAGGAUUGGUACCAGAACCCAAGCUGUGUGUGGAGGAGAGUCCGACUAUAUCUAGUCGGAACUUCUCUGCCUCACACACCAGCUCAGGCUCCUUCCCUGCCAGAGAGGUGACAUUCCAUGUCCCAAGAGUUAGCUUCUGCAGCUGGGGGUCGGACCGCCAAGGCCCCCGCCUUUGGCUGCCGCCCAACUCCCUACGCACCCGACCCUUUUGGCCCCUCCCACAGGUGGUGAGCCCAUGGGAAGGGGAACCCACGUUGCCUUUUCGGGCUGAGCCCGGCCGGGCCCCAUGGGGACAGGCCCGGCCACCAGACGCUUGCCUUCGAGCCCCACCUCCAGGCCUGGCUCCAGAGGGGGGCCUUGGUAACCUGCGUCCAGGCAAGGAAAACUGGGGUUCAUUUAUGUUGCUCAUCAUAAGAGGUCUUUUUGAGCCAUACUUUGUCUGGCCCCUCACCUAGGACCUGUUUGCCAUGGGUGACCCUACCAGGGCCUUAAAGCCUCAGACAACAUAGCUCCUAGGAUCAUUGAGACACGCAAACCCCUCCACCACGAUAAGGUGAUGACUCACGGGAGGACUAAGGUUCUCUUAUUCCCAAUUAUAUAAAAAUAUAAUAUUCACUUACUUUAUACUCCUGCUUCUGCGGGGUUCCAUGCGCACUUGCGCGCAGAAAGGCAUAUUUGUGUCAGGAGGCAACAUUUCUCCUGGACUUCCAUAUUUUAAAUUGCUUAUCUGUUCCUUUAAUAUUUCUACUUAAAUUUACUCACUCGACCCUAACACGCUCACACUGUGCUUCAAGUUUGUCAUCAUCAUGUUGCAGUUGAAGACCAGACUGAUUAGGUGGAUUUUAACUGGAACUAGGUGGUGCAACAAAAGUACAGGUAGUUCCCGGUUUACGAACGAGGUCCGUUCCUACGAUGGCGACGUAAACCGAAUUUCUGCACGAGUCGGAAUUAACCGUAUAAGUACCCUUAAUCUCAAAAUAACUAUUAAAAACAUAUAUUGUAAGUCAUAUUUAUAAAAUAAAGUAAGAAAUAUGAUAGAUAUUUCUUCCGUCCCUUGAAGGACAGCUGAAGAGCUUUUUGGAUGACCGUUUUACUCGGUUAAAUUGGCCUGAAUGCAUCAUUCACUGUCUCAAAACUCACAUUACCAAAUUUGUUUUUAAAAUUGACUGCAUAGUUUUUGAGUUACUGCCAUAGCAACACCUUAGCAACGAGGGAUGCGCCUUGCUGUCGGUUGCGACCUGAUGACGUCAAUUCUAGAGAACCCCGCCAGCGUUCUAAUACGAAAGUAUAGCACCACUCUAUCCUCGCCAUAUAUUGUAAACUUUUUCUGGGUUUUCCUCGCGAGAUUCGUCAUGCCAUCUCGAUGUGUAGUGAUGAACUGCUCACAUGAAGGCUCGAGACUCUGAGUGGCCCAAAAAACCUUCUGCAAAGAUUUGGACAUCUUUUAUGAGAGUCAAGCAGAAGAACUACCCGGUGUUCUAACAUGUCAGGGUGAAACGGGCCGGUGGUGUGCCCGGUUGAUGGUAGACUCUUAACCCCCAGUGGGGCCGGGAUCCCACCGCAGCCGGCUGCCGAGAGGUGGCCCUCACCUUUGCGCCUCGGGAUUUCGUCGCUGAGAUGAACCCGACUCCGGGAAGGCCGCGCCCGGCUCGCAGGGGACCGCUACCGGCUUCACACCGUCCAGGGGCAGAGCCUCCAUCAGAAGGACUCGGGCCCACCGGGCGGCAUCGGGCUGAGCGGCCUUCCGUACGCCGGCCGUCCCGCACUGUCCGCCUGCUGCCGCAGCGCACCGCCGCUCCCUACGGCGCGAUUGGCAGAACACCGGCUCCUCAAUCGCGUCUUUGUUUUCAACAUUUCAGCGACGACAGCUUUGAAAGCCUAAGAGUUUGGUUUUUCAAAGACAUAAGUAGACCCUCACUGGCAAUUUCACAUGUCUAUUACUUGAUCGUGACCAGCUUUUUUUGUUGCUGUUGCUUGCCUGUCAUAAGACAGCUGACAGGUUGUCCAUUCAUCUCAAUAUGAUACAUUUAUUACUAGAUCGAUAUAACUACUCGUCUGUUUUGCAAUCACUGAUAAUUAUAUCACAGAAUGACUGGGGGGGGGGGAAGGUUAAGGGAGAAAUCCCGAUGCUAGAUGCCUACCACUCUUCCUUUUCUGAAGGGUCAGGCUACCAACCGGCGUCAUCACCAACGUCUGCUGUGCCGCGUAAAUCGUCGUCAUCUGACGCCUCAGGUUCAAACGUGUGCAUUAAUUGUAGAUAAUAUUUCAUGGGAGCCUUUGCCAUGUUAGCGUCACGAAAGAGCCAUUCUGAAUGGUUACUUUCAGUGGACAUAUCACUAGAGGCGUGCGAAAUUUCCGAUUCUUAGAUUAUUCGCGAUUCGGCCGUGGAAGAUUCGAGAACGAUUCACAAAUAUCCAAAUUCCGAUUAUUGAAUUAUACCAGGUAAAGCGAAAGUAAAACAGUCACCGCGGUCUUUGGGACGUAAUGAGGAACGGAUCAAGAGUAAAUAUCAUGUUCAACUCAUGCAGCUAGAUUAAAAAAAAAAUCAAUCAUUCCUGACUGCGGCUGACAGCUGCUACAAACAACGCCCAGUUGCUAGUUGCUACAAACAUACGGCUACAGUAGAUAUCAUAUAUAUGUAGAACUAGAUGCAAAAUGACAGACGACGUCGGUGUUAGAACUUGUAUUAUUGAACAGAGAUGCGAAAUGACACUUUCCGGCGUAAGUAAACAGCUGCCAUCUUAAACCAGUAGACCUCUCUAGAAGGCUCUUUUGUAGCAAACCUAAUUAACUUUUUAUCUAAAAUACUCCUAAAUUGGCAGAAUCUUGUCUUGAAUCUAUCUUUAAAUGAUGAAAUAGUAGUAAAACUCUGACAAAAGUAGACAGAAGGGAAAUUAUGGAAUAACGGGAGCAAUUUUAACAACUGUAACGGUUGAUUCACAACAUUAAAUUAAUUGAAUGUAGUUUAAAGAGCAUAUGACACGAGAAAAAAAGUCUUAAAUAGCAUUAUUGUGUGAAUUAGAAUCAUAUUUUGAGACGAUUCGACUAUAUACAGCAAAUUUGCAAAGCACAGAUAACGAGAAAUUAGACUUUUAAUGUGCUGUUAGGCCCCUCCUCCUGUUAAAGCCCGCUGGCGCCGCCAUCUUGCUGAUGACGUCAGCGGUAGAACGAUUUCAGGCAGCUUUAGCAUUGAGCCCAAUGGAGGAGGAAACAUUUUCCAGCGAUUCUGGUUCAAGUUUGGAAUUUUCAAACAUAAUUGGCGAUCCAGAGGAAGUAUGUGCCAUACAGCCAUAUAGGUUUGAGCCAUAUUUGGAGGAAAAAGAUAUGGAAUCAGAAAGCAGCGACACAGACGAGACUGAGCCAAACUCCCAGGAUGACCACAGCAGACUGGGCAACACUGCAUGGUGUUCAUGUGAAUGCUGUGCAGUGAUGCCCACAGUAGAUGAGUGCGUUUGCUGUGGUGAACAGGAGCGAGUCAGGGAGAAGAUGGAGGGGGCUGGGGUCCAAUGUAUUACCCAGCACCCUGGAUUUCAGCCCGUGUGCCUGAACGUAGACGUCCUUCAGACAGCCUAUUAUGCCUACAGGCAAAAUUAUGAGGACCAGUCAGGAAACAACUGGAAACGUUACACGGCGUAUCGCCAGUUUGUGCGCUGGGUGUACGAGUUCCUGGGGCGGAGGAUCAGGGUUCCUCUACCAGCCUGUGUGGUCGCGCAGAUCAGGACAAGCUUCCCAUCACCGGAGUUUGUUGGAUACCAACCUUGUAAUCCUCCCUAAAACUCCAAGUUGAAUAAAAUAUUGUAAUCGUUUCAUUAUACAGUCAUCCUGAUGUGAUUUUUAAAAGAAUAUCUCUACUUCAAUAUUUUUGCAAGCCUCAGUGGUUAGUCUUAUUACAUAUUUGCUAAGUGCAAUACAAAAAUUAUAUUUCCAUGACAAAGUAUUGUACUGAAUGGAAUAUGGAAAUAUGACAAAUGCAAGGACGUUAUAAGAUACUUAUUUCUGACAUGCUGAUACAAGUAAAAAACAAUUGCUACUGUAUCAAGCUCAAGACAAUGAUUUGGAAAAAUACACAAAAUGGUUUUAUUCACCGGAAUUUAAGUGUGCCAUUAUAUUUUAUAUAUACCAACAUAUUUACACAGGGCUCGAACCAAUAAUACCUUAUAAAUUCAAAAAACUAGCUCACAUUUUCAAAAGAUGACAACGAAAGAACUGGGGAACACAAUUAUACAAAAUUAAAGGUUCAGUCAUGGCACAUUAAAACGUGUGACAUGAUCCCGGACCGCCUGUUCUUUGUCAGGUCGCUGAAAGCUGCUGCUGAGGGAUAACCUCCCGGCCUCGGGCACAGCCGGUAUCGCCUCCAAUUCAUCCGGCUCUACAUCACUCGCGUCCUGCACAAGCCUCUCCACCGCCGACAUCAGCUCGCUAACAUACUCUGAUAACAAGGGAAGCAAAUGGUACUGACAAAUGCACAGAGAUAAUUCCACAUGAAAUCCAUUCAUCUUGCAAAUAUCAAGCAAAAAUGGGACAGAUUCUAAAAACACACUUGACACUGUAUCCAGUAAUAAAGUGUCCAAAGGUUUGUACAUUACGAUGACACCCAAUAAUUUACAACAAUGAGUUCAAUUGACAGGAUUAGUAAUGCGUACUUACCAAAUGUAGGGUUCUCCAAAACUUUGCGCACAACAUGGCCGCCUUGUUUUGAUUUUGGAAAGUGGAUGCUAUAAAUCCCCACUCCGUCUCGGGUUAAGCUGUGGGCUCGAUGGGCGUUUUCAUUGAAGUGAAGAGCAGCCACAAUCGUCCUUAAAAAAAAAAAAAAAAAAAAAAACAUGGAUGGAAUAGUAUUUCCAUAUUAAUAUUCAUAUUGAAAAUGUCUUAAUCGAUCAGAUUGUGAUUGGGACAACAAAAAACAAAGACAUGAGAUAAUAUACUGGAUAAAUCAGCAGAAAAUUGUUACAAUAAUACCUGCUGAGCAUCCCCUCGUAAGAAAAGGCGAACAUUUUGGGUGUAAAAUGGUUCACCAGACUGUGGAAGGCUUCCAGGUGGGAAGUCUGGUAGACUGGAGACAGCCGGCGAAUGUCAGCCAACAGUUUGGAGCCACAGAUCAGCUUCUCCAGCUCAUUGGUCAACUUGGUGUCUGCAAAAUACCAGACAGAAUCAAAUUUGUACUUGAACAGAGAAGCAUUUUGCGAAAUAGUAUAAGUGUGCUUAUUGUAAUGGAAUGCAAACUUACGAGGCGUGAGCCAAGGCUUUUUCCGUUCCCGACCUUCCAAAGGACCAUGGCUGCACCUGGGGAAACUGCCUUUGAAGCCCGAGUGAUCAUUCUGAACAUGGCUCAGUACUGACUCCCACUUGUCGAGGAUGAGUCUGGGGUCCCCAGGUCGCGUUGACGCCACGGACCAAUAUAAAUGGUUGAUGAUACUGCCAAUCCAGGGUUUUAGGGCUUCACAUCCACGCAGCUUAGAGAGGUUCUGCAACUUUUUCUUCAAACCUUGGAAAGACAAUUAUGUAGGUGUGUAAAAUAUGCUAUAAAUAAAGCUGUGAUAAUGAAUCUUAUUACCUUUGCCAAUAUGCCAGAUGUCAAAAAGAUGCUCAAUGUGUGGGAACUGUUCUCGGACGAGCUUGUUGACAGUCACAUGUCGAUCUGUCACCAGAGUUCCCACACGCACAAACUCCUCGAGCACACGCAGUGACCGAACCAGUCCUUCGGGCUCCAUGUGGUAGCUACCUCCUACCUCGUUACUCUGAGAUUUGGGAAAAAACAAAGCAACAUACAGUAUGAUAUAUAAAGAAUUAGGCUUAUAUCGAACAUCUUUUGUUCACAAGUUUAAUUUACCUGCACAAUCUGCACAUCCAAGAUGGUUAGCUUCCGCAGUUCCAUCAUCGUGUAAGUCCCGUAUUUUGCACUGUGACCGGGUGAGUCAGCUCGUCCGUCGCCACCACAAACAAUUUCCUCUCCCUCAGCUUGUAGAUGGCUCAACAGCCAGAUUUGCCGCUCUCGCCACACGCUUUUGAUGGCUUGGUGAAGGUAGCGUUCUUGAUGGCGAAAGUACGACCGAGUGGAGUAAACAGCUACACCCAUGUGAGAUAACACACGCAGAACUUUGCCCACAGUUGCACCAGCAAAUAAAAUGGCUGCAGAAAGAAAUAUGUUUCCAGCAGCAAUUCUGCCGACAUAUGGUUGGGAGUUCCAUGUUCCGGUGUGACCACAUCCAGGCUCAGCACACUUCAAGGCCAGCACCAACAUGGUACCGACCUCAGAAGGGACCCAGUUGACCUUCUUGCAGGCACACGCAGGACAACUGACCCACUGGCUAAUGAGCUGAAUGAGGGCGACCCAGUAGAUUAGAUAUACCCGGCUGGGAACUGGCGCAGGGUCGGCCGCAGCCAUAUCAGGACAAUCGGACUCGCUGGACUCGCAGUCAGAAGGUGCGGUGGGUAGGUCAUACUCAGAAUCAGCCUCGCACACCAACAUUUCUUCAUCCGAGUCCCAGCUGUCGAUGGUAACAUUCAGCUCUGAGUGAACAACGCAGGUUUGGGUACCCACAGUCAUCAUGAGGGGCCCGGAUGUUGUCUGGACACCUGAAAGAUACACACAAUAGAUCACAAUCUUCUUCCCCCUAUUGCUAUAACAUGUUGAUGAUUGUGUGAGAAACCCAAUAAAAAUUUUCAUUUUAACCGCAGUAGAGUUUAGAUUUUAUGUAAGCCUGUCAAACAAAUGAAUUAGAAAACAAUCAGACUUGAAAAUUAUAUUAUUAUUUUUUAUUUUAUAUUACAAAAAAUAAAAUAAAAUAAUCAGAGAAAAGGGUGGCUACUUUGAAGAUACUAGAAUAUUAUAUGUUUUAGUUAUAUUUCACAUUUUUUGGCUGAGUACAUAAUUGCACAUAGUUUUAUUACCUUUAGUGAGAAUUUACAAUGUAAAUAGUGACAAAAAUAAAGAAAACGCACUAAUGAGAGACGGUGUGUCCAAACAUUUGGCCUGUGAUGUAUUUUGGAAGGCAGCUAUGACAAUGAAAAACUUACACUGGAUAAGUUCCAACCUAUUAUAGGUUAAUCAUUUAAACAUUAUAAUGAUAGUAAACACUUUGCCCUUACUCGGUAUUUUAUAUAUAUAUAUAUAUAUAUAUUAAAAAAAAAAUGUUUCUUUAAUCUGUAUUAUAUUAAUUCAAUAAGCACAAGUCAAAUGGAUGUUUUGAAAGUUUGUUAAUAGCAACGAUAGGUAAUUCCUUAAAUUAGAAGCAACUGAAAAUGUACUUCGAAUUACCUUUAUGUCGUCUUUGAGGUUGCAAAGCAGCACUAACAGCAACAGUCUGACUUGGUGGCAAAAGACAAACCUGACAGGACUCGUCGACCUAUGGGUACACAGACAACAUCAAGUUUAUAGUUAUUCAUUAGCCUCAAAUGUAUUGACUAUGUAAUCAUAUUUUGAUAACUAGAUGGCAAAAUAAGAAUUUUCCCCAAAACCAAAGACAGAAAGGUUUAGGGAAUGUUAUUAUGACACAUACACCAGGUGUCAAAAGUCAUAUUUUGAGUGGAAAUGUUUUAUAACAUUUUGUAAAACACAUUACACGUACCGAUUUAGGAGCUGGCCCAGCGGCAAAUUCUUCCAACUCAGGAUUAUCCGCGUCUGGAUUAACACUUUCGCACUGUGUCUUUGAAUGGGCCUGGUAUUCUUGUAUCAUCGACUGAAAAGAAAAGGACACAAUUCAAUCACUCGAAUAAACGCCGCGCGAUUACAAUUGUAGGAG